rnacentral:lncRNA from 1 species
UUUUUCAUGCAAGAAAGUGACUUUAGUUUUGAGUGGUUGAUUUUAGGUUGAUUUUAGUUUUAAGGCAUUAAAGCAUAUUGUAGCGGGAAAUUCAUGAUCAUCAAGCUAUGGAUAAGCUAGAGAUCAAAUAACAAGAGUCACCACCGCGCUUUUAUUGUUUCCAAGGGAAAAGGGAAAACGUACGAACAAAACCAAAAAGUAAGAAGUUUUCAAAUUAAAACUAAUAAAAGGUCAGAGAUCACAGGUAAGGGGGUUGGUUACACAGAGG